GAUUAUUUUCCACCUGAAAGAGAAUGUCAUAAUAGAAUUUCACGUUAUUAUGAAGAUAUUGUUUUGACAUAUUCUUUAACAGAUUUUAAAUCACAUUUUCGAUUAGAAAAGCGUACAUACGAAAGAUUGGUACAAGAUCUUGGACAACAUUUGUAUCGUGAUCAAGGUGCUGAAAAAAUGUCUCCUGGAAAGCAAACAGCAAUUACUUUAUGAUUCUUCGGUAAUCAGGAAGUUUAUAGAUCAGUUGCGGAUCGAUUUGGAGUAUCCAAAGAUAUUGUUUGGAAUUGUGUAUUUGAGGUAGCAUUACUACUAACUGAAAAUGCCCACAGAUAUAUAAAAUGGCCUGAACUCUUCAUCAAAUGGCUCUCUUUGAAAGAGAAUUUCGUCAAUUACAUGAUUUUCCUGGAGUAAUUGGUGCAAUUGAUGGCUCUCAUAUACCAAUAAGUGCACCUACAGAAAGUCCUGAAAAUUACAUUAAUCGUAAAGGGUUUCAUUCAAUAAUAUUACAAGGAAUUUGUGAUUAUAAAUUAAGAUUUAUAGAUGUUUUUACAGGUAUAUGCGGUAGUGUUCACGAUGCAAGAGUUUGGCGUUUAAGCGACAUUAGAUAUUAAUAGUACAAGAUAUAAUAUUAAUAGUACAAGAUGAAAAUAAAUACUUUCAAAAUCAAUAUCUUUUGGCACAUUCAGCAUAUCCUUUAUCAAAUUACAUGUUAACUCCAUAUCGAGAUAAUGGUCAUUUAACUAAUGUACAAAGACGAUUUAACACAAAACUCUCAAGAACACGUGUAGUCAUCGAGCGUACUUUUGGCAUGUUAAAAGGAAAGUUUAAAAAAUUGAAGUAUAUUUAUAUGUAUAAUACAGAAAUGAUACCCUUAGUUAUUCUUAUUUGUUACAUCUUACAUAAUAUAUGCAUAGAAAAUGAUGAUGAAUUUAUU